UAUAUUAUAGGUUAAUCCUGCUCUAUGAAUAAUAUUAUGUUUAAAUGGCCGCAGUAAACUGACUGUGCUAAGGUAGCAUAAUAAAUUGGCCUUUAAUUGGGGUCUGGCAUGAAUGGAUAAUAUAUGUGAUUACUGUCUUUAUUAUAUUUUUUUGAAAUUACUUAAUAGGUGAAAAUUCCUAUAAUUAACAUUGAAAGACGAGAAGACCCUUAGAAUUAUAAAUAAAAUAUAUAUUGUAUACACUUUUUUUGUUGGGGCGACAUAUUUUCAUAUAACAUAAUAUAUAUAAAUUAUCACAAGACUAAAGUGAUUAGUAAGAAAUAAUUACCUGAGGGAUAACAGCAUAAUAUAAUAAUAUGUUUAUGACCUCGAUGUUGGACUAGGUUAAAUAAUAACAAGCAGUUAUUAUUAAUUGUUCUGUUCGAACACUCUCA
rnacentral:rRNA from 1 species